CAACGAGGCCCCACAAUUCCAUUUGAACCAUUAGUGGAGGUUGGAGUCGAGUAAACAUUUAACAAAUACCGAUCAGGAGGCAGUUGGAACCUAGGUCAAGGUGUCCACGUGGACUCGUCUCUUUGGUAGGUAUCUCGGCAUUCAAUAGCAGUACCUUCGCCACGGUCGCUCCGCUGGAAGUCGAGUGUCUUUAUGCUAUAUAUAUAGAUAAACGAAAUGUAAAAUUUUAAGAUACUUGUCUUAGACAAUAUAUAUGUAUAUAUAUACUUUGAAUGGUAACGCCAUUAUGAGUUGGCGA